ACUCUGACCCUUUAAACUCUAUACUGUGACCUGGGCUGCAUUCAGGAGGGCGCAACGUUGCACAACAGUUGGAAAUCUGUAACCCGUUUUUACCUGGAUCAUUAUUCAUUAGAAGCUUUUUGUAGCAAAAAAAUAAUAAUAAUUAAAAAAAAGAGUUUGUUAUUGGAUAAGAUCAUGUGUUUCCUCCCUGUUUCAGUCUGUUUCAGUCUGUUUCAGUCUGUUUCAGCCUGUUUCAGUCUGUUUCAGUCUGUUUCAGUCUGUUUCAGUCUGUUUCAGUCUGUUUCAGCCUGUUUCAGCCUGUUUCAGUCUGUUUCAGUCUGUUUCAGCCUGUUUCAGUCUGUUUCAGUCUGUUUCAGUCUGUUUCAGUCUGUUUCAGUCUGUUUCAGUCUGUUUCAGCCUGUUUCAGCCUGUUUCAGUCUGUUUCAGUCUGUUUCAGUCUGUUUCAGUCUGUUUCAGUCUGUUUCAGCCUGUUUCAGCCUGUUUCAGUCUGUUUCAGUCUGUUUCAGUCUGUUUCAGCCUGUUUCAGUCUGUUUCAGUCUGUUUCAGUCUCUCUAACGUGUUUCUGUGUGUGUCUGUCUAAUGAAUAUGUCCUGGGGUGUGUGUCUGGGUGUUUCUGUGUGUGUCUGUCUAAUGAAUAUGUCCUGGGGUGUGUGUCUGGGUGUUUCUGUGUGUGUCUGUCUAAUGAAUAUGUCCUAGGGUGUGUGUCUGGGUGUUUCUGUGGUCCUCACCCACGGGGUUCAUACCUAGCAGGUGUGGAUGCGUUGGUGUCCCUCAUAAACCUGGCCACGGUCUACGUCCCAAAUGGCACCUUAUUCUCUAUGAAGGGCCACUACCAGGGCUCUGGUUGAAUGUAGGGCACGAUACAGGGAAUAGGGCUCUGGUUGAAAGUAGGGCACGAUACAGGGAAUAGGGCACGAUACAGGGAAUAGGGCUCUGGUUGAAAGUAGGGCACGAUACAGGGAUCAGGGCUCUGGUUGAAUGUAGGGCACGAUACAGGGAAUAGGGCUCUGGUUGAAAGUAGGGCACGAUACAGGGAAUAGGGCACGAUACAGGGAAUAGGGCUCUGGUUGAAAGUAGGGCACGAUACAGGGAAUAGGGCUCGAUACAGGGAAUAGGGCUCUGGUUGAAAGUAGGGCACGAUACAGGGAAUAGGGCUCGAUACAGGGAAUAGGGCUCUGGUUGAAUGUAGGGCACGAUACAGGGAAUAGGGCUCUGGUUGAAAGUAGGGCACGAUACAGGGAAUAGGGCUCUAGUUGAAAGUAGGGCACGAUACAGGGAAUAGGGCUCUGGUUGAAUGUAGGGCACGAUACAGGGAAUAGGGCUCUGGUUGAAUGUAGGGCACGAUACAGGGAAUAGGGCUCUGGUUGAAAGUAGGGCACGAUACAGGGAAUAGGGCUCUAGUUGAAAGUAGGGCACGAUACAGGGAAUAGGACUCUGGUUGAAUAGGGCACGAUACAGGGAAUAGGGCUCUGGUUGAAUAGGGCACGAUACAGGGAAUAGGGCUCGAUACAGGGAAUAGGGCUCUAGAUAAAAGUAGGGCACGAUACAGGGAAUAGGGCUCUGGUUGAAUGUAGGGCACGAAACAGGGAAUAGGGCUCUGGUUGAAUGUAGGGCACGAUACAGGGAUCAGGGCUCUAGAUGAAAGUAGGGCACGAUACAGGGAAUAGGGCUCUGGUUGAAUGUAGGGCACGAUACAGGGAUCUGGUUGAAAGUAGGGCACGAUACAGGGAUCAGGGCUCUAGAUGAAAGUAGGGCACGAUACAGGGAAUAGGGCUCUAGAUGAAAGUAGGGCACGAUACAGGGAAUAGGGCUCUGGUUGAAUGUAGGGCACGAUACAGGGAAUAGGGCUCUGGUUGAAUGUAGGGCACGAUACAGGGAAUAGGGCUCUGGUUGAAAGUAGGGCACGAUACAGGGAAUAGGGCUCUAGGUGAAAGUAGGGCACGAUACAGGGAAUAGGGCUCUGGUUGAAAGUAGGGCACGAUACAGGGAUCAGGGCUCUGGUUGAAUGUAGGGCACGAUACAGGGAAUAGGGCUCGAUACAGGGAAUAGGGCUCUGGUUGAAAGUAGGGCACGAUACAGGGAAUAGGGCUCGAUACAGGGAAUAGGGUUCUGGUUGAAUGUAGGGCACGAUACAGGGAAUAGGGCUCUGGUUGAAAGUAGGGCACGAUACAGGGAAUAGGGCUCUAGUUGAAAGUAGGGCACGAUACAGGGAAUAGGGCUCUGGUUGAAUAGGGCACGAUACAGGGAAUAGGGCUCGAUACAGGGAAUAGGGCUCUUGAUAAAAGUAGGGCACGAUACAGGGAAUAGGGCUCUGGUUGAAAGUAUGGCACGAUACAGGGAAUAGGGCUCUGGUUGAAUAGGGCACGAUACAGGGAAUAGGGCUCGAUACAGAGAAUAGGGCUCUAGAUAAAAGUAGGGCACGAUACAGGGAAUAGGGCUCUAGAUGAAAGUAGGGCAUGAUACAGGGAAUAGGGCUCUGGUUGAAAGUAGGGCACAAUACAGGGAAUAGGGCUCUGGUUGAAAGUAGGGCACGAUACAGGGAAUAGGGCUCUGGUUGAAUGUAGGGCACGAUACAGGGAAUAGGGCUCUGGUUGAAAGUAGGGCACGAUACAGGGAAUAGGGCUCUGGUUGAAAGUAGGGCACGAUACAGGGAAUAUGGCACGAUACAGGGAAUAGGGCUCUAGAUGAAAGUAGGGCACGAUACAGGGAAUAGGUCUCUAGAUGAAAGUAGGGCACGAUACAGGGAAUAGGAUCCUAUUUGGGACAUAGACAAGGUGUGUGAUGUGCUUCUACUGGUUGCUGUUAACAACUUUAUUCUGUAGAGUUUACCCUGUUAACAUGUUAACAACUUUAUUCUGUAGAGUUUACCCUGUUAACAUGUUAACAACUUUAUUCUGUAGAGUUUACCCUGUUAACAACUUUAUUCUGUAGAGUUUACCCUGUUAACAACUUUAUUCUGUAGAGUUUACCCCGUUAACAUGUUAACAACUUUAUUCUGUAGAGUUUACCCUGUUAACAACUUUAUUCUGUAGAGUUUACCCUGUUAACAUGUUAACAACUUUAUUCUGUAGAGUUUACCCCAUUAACAACUUUAUUCUGUAGAGUUUACCCUGUUAACAACUUUAUUCUGUAGAGUUUACCCUGUUAACAACUUUAUUCUGUAGAGUUUACCCUGUUAACAACUUUAUUCUGUAGAGUUUACCCCGUUAACAUGUUAACAACUUUAUUCUGUAGUGUUUACCCUGUUAACAACUUUAUUCUGUAGAGUUUACCCUGUUAACAACUUUAUUCUGUAGAGUUUACCCUGUUAACAACUUUAUUCUGUAGAGUUUACCCUGUUAACAUGUUAACAACUUUAUUCUGUAGAGUUUACCCUGUUUACAACUUUAUUCUGUAGAGUUUACCCUGUUAACAACUUUAUUCUGUAGUUUACCCUGUUAACAUGUUAACAACUUUAUUCUGUAGAGUUUACCCAUUAACAACUUUAUUCUGUAGAGUUUACCCCGUUAACAUGUUAACAACUUUAUUCUGUAGAGUUUACCCUGUUAACAACUUUAUUCUGUAGAGUUUACCCUGUUAACAACUUUAUUCUGUAGAGUUUACCCCGUUAACAUGUUAACAACUUUAUUCUGUAGAGUUUACCCUGUUAACUUUAUUCUGUAGAGUUUACCCUGUUAACAACUUUAUUCUGUAGAGUUUACCCUGUUAACAUGUUAACAACUUUAUUCUGUAGAGUUUACCCUGUUAACAACUUUAUUCUGUAGAGUUUACCCUGUUAACAACUUUAUUCUGUAGAGUUUACCCCGUUAACAACUUUAUUCUGUAGAGUUUACCCUGUUAACAACUUUAUUCUGUAGAGUUUACCCUGUUAACAUGUUAACAACUUUAUUCUGUAGAGUUUACCCUGUUAACAACUUUAUUCUGUAGAGUUUACCCUGUUAACAUGUUAACAACUUUAUUCUGUAGAGUUUACCCUGUUAACAACUUUAUUCUGGAGAGUUUACCCUGUUAACAUGUUCUGUGCUCAGACAACUUUCUUCUCAACCGGCCAGGUGUCUGUGAAAGUAGUGUUUCUUUUUAAGGGAAAAUCACUGGAAUGUUCUGAGUUAAACACAUUUUCUAUUCAGAUGAUAUAAAUGAUUUAAAACA